rnacentral:rRNA from 1 species
GAUUAGUGGCGAACGGGUGAGUAACACGUGAGUAACCUGCCCUUAACUCUGGGAUAAGCCUGGGAAACUGGGUCUAAUACCGGAUAUGACUCCUCAUCGCAUGGUGGGGGGUGGAAAGCUUUAUUGUGGUUUUGGAUGGACUCGCGGCCUAUCAGCUUGUUGGUGAGGUAAUGGCUCACCAAGGCGACGACGGGUAGCCGGCCUGAGAGGGUGACCGGCCACACUGGGACUGAGACACGGCCCAGACUCCUACGGGAGGCAGCAGUGGGGAAUAUUGCACAAUGGGCGAAAGCCUGAUGCAGCGACGCCGCGUGAGGGAUGACGGCCUUCGGGUUGUAAACCUCUUUCAGUAGGGAAGAAGCGAAAGUGACGGUACCUGCAGAAGAAGCGCCGGCUAACUACGUGCCAGCAGCCGCGGUAAUACGUAGGGCGCAAGCGUUAUCCGGAAUUAUUGGGCGUAAAGAGCUCGUAGGCGGUUUGUCGCGUCUGCCGUGAAAGUCCGGGGCUCAACUCCGGAUCUGCGGUGGGUACGGGCAGACUAGAGUGAUGUAGGGGAGACUGGAAUUCCUGGUGUAGCGGUGAAAUGCGCAGAUAUCAGGAGGAACACCGAUGGCGAAGGCAGGUCUCUGGGCAUUAACUGACGCUGAGGAGCGAAAGCAUGGGGAGCGAACAGGAUUAGAUACCCUGGUAGUCCAUGCCGUAAACGUUGGGCACUAGGUGUGGGGGACAUUCCACGUUUUCCGCGCCGUAGCUAACGCAUUAAGUGCCCCGCCUGGGGAGUACGGCCGCAAGGCUAAAACUCAAAGGAAUUGACGGGGGCCCGCACAAGCGGCGGAGCAUGCGGAUUAAUUCGAUGCAACGCGAAGAACCUUACCAAGGCUUGACAUGAACCGGAAAUACCUGGAAACAGGUGCCCCGCUUGCGGUCGGUUUACAGGUGGUGCAUGGUUGUCGUCAGCUCGUGUCGUGAGAUGUUGGGUUAAGUCCCGCAACGAGCGCAACCCUCGUUCUAUGUUGCCAGCGCGUUAUGGCGGGGACUCAUAGGAGACUGCCGGGGUCAACUCGGAGGAAGGUGGGGACGACGUCAAAUCAUCAUGCCCCUUAUGUCUUGGGCUUCACGCAUGCUACAAUGGCCGGUACAAAGGGUUGCGAUACUGUGAGGUGGAGCUAAUCCCAAAAAGCCGGUCUCAGUUCGGAUUGGGGUCUGCAACUCGACCCCAUGAAGUCGGAGUCGCUAGUAAUCGCAGAUCAGCAACGCUGCGGUGAAUACGUUCCCGGGCCUUGUACACACCGCCCGUCAAGUCACGAAAGUUGGUAACACCCGAAGCCGGUGGC